GAUACCGUCAGUAGCGGCGAGCGAAAUCGGUAGAGCCCAAACCAAAGUGCUUGCACUUUGGGGUUGUAGGACUGACAUUGUGGAGUUACAAAGUUAACAUUUAGCAGAAUCAGCUGGGAAGCUGAGCGAGACAGGGUGAUAGCCCCGUAUGCGAAAAGUGUUGA
rnacentral:ncRNA from 1 species